rnacentral:rRNA from 1 species
ACACUCCUACGGGAGGCAGCAGUGGGGAAUAUUGCACAAUGGGCGCAAGCCUGAUGCAGCCAUGCCGCGUGUAUGAAGAAGGCCUUCGGGUUGUAAAGUACUUUCAGCGGGGAGGAAGGCAAUACGGUUAAUAACCGUGUUGAUUGACGUUACCUGCAGAAGAAGCACCGGCUAACUCCGUGCCAGCAGCCGCGGUAAUACGGAGGGUGCAAGCGUUAAUCGGAAUUACUGGGCGUAAAGCGCACGCAGGCGGUCUGUCAAGUCGGAUGUGAAAUCCCCGGGCUCAACCUGGGAACUGCAUUCGAAACUGGCAGGCUUGAGUCUUGUAGAGGGGGGUAGAAUUCCAGGUGUAGCGGUGAAAUGCGUAGAGAUCUGGAGGAAUACCGGUGGCGAAGGCGGCCCCCUGGACAAAGACUGACGCUCAGGUGCGAAAGCGUGGGGAGCAAACAGGAUUAGAAACCCCAGUAGUCCCA